rnacentral:rRNA from 1 species
UACGUAGGGUGCGAGCGUUGUCCGGAAUUAUUGGGCGUAAAGGGCUCGUAGGCGGUUUGUCGCGUCGGGAGUGAAAACCAGGUGCUUAACACCUGGCUUGCUUUCGAUACGGGCAGACUAGAGGUAUGCAGGGGAGAACGGAAUUCCUGGUGUAGCGGUGAAAUGCGCAGAUAUCUGGAGGAACACCGGUGGCGAAGGCGGCGUUCUGGACUGCAACUGACACUGAGGAACGAAAGCCAGGGGAGCAAACGGG